UACGGAGGGGGGCUAGCGUUUGUUCGGAAUUACUGGGCGUAAAGCGCACGUAGGCGGCUUUGUAAGUUAGAGGUGAAAGCCCGGGGCUCAACCCCGGAAUUGCCUUUGAGACUGCAUCGCUAGAAUUGUGGAGAGGUAAGUGGAAUUCCGAGUGUAGAGGUGAAAUUCGUAGAUAUUCGGAAGAACACCAGUGGCGAAGGCGAGUCCCUGGACACUUCCUGACACUGAGGCACGAAAGCUAGGGGAGCAAACAGG
rnacentral:rRNA from 1 species